AUAGACGAUAGUUCGUAAUCAUUCUAACUCUAUGUCGAUCAUCGUUAGUAAAUAUUGAAUAGUAAAUACUAAAUAUUAAAUUCUUAAUAAAUUGUAAUAAGCAUAUUAUUAUAUUUUAUUAAAAUUGUUUUCUACUUGCACAAGUCACGGUAGCAGUAUAGUAGGGAUUUCAUACGUUUGUUUGUGAUUUGAAGUAUAGUGGAUCAUGUCCAAAGACAAAAUCCAAGAGGGAAGGGAGUGUAUGGACAAAGCUGCGAAAUAUCUGAAGACAUCUUUGUUGAAAUGGGUUCCCGAUUACGACAGUGCGGCCGAUGAAUACUCAAAAGCAGCUACUUGUUUCAGAGUUGGAAAAUCAUAUAAGGAAAGCAAGGAAUGUCUUAUGAAGGCAUCAGAAAAUUAUUUACAAAAUGGAUCACUUUUUCAUGCUGCUAAGUGUAUGGAUCAGGCUAUUAUUAUGUCUAAGGAGAUGGGUGACACAAGUGACGUGUUUAAAUUGGCUAUGAAAGCCAGUCACUAUUACCAGCAACAUGGAUCCUCUGGAAGCGCAUCAUUAUUGUUGAACAAAGUUGCAGACAUGUUACAACAAUCAGAUCCAGAAUCAGCCAUAAAGCUCUUAAAAGAAGCUUCAAACAUUUCUGGGAUUGAAGAUUCGACUGGACAAGCAAUGGAAUACACACACAAAGUAGCACGACUGUUGGUAAAAUUGAAAAGGUAUGAAGAAGCUGAAAAUGAAAUAAAACGUCAAUUUGAUCUUAUUGCGGAAGGAGGUCCUACCUCCAACAUGGGCAGAGUAACUGUUGAACUUUUUUUACUACAAUUGGAUAAAGAUGAUUAUGUGGCUGCUAAAAAAGUGUUGCAUGAAUAUGGAAUGCAAUAUUGUGAACAAGCAGAGAUUUAUAUGCUUGACAGCAUUGUAAACGCAUACUCCGAUCAUGACUGUGCUCAAAUUCGGAAAAUGUUAAACAGUCCUUUUAUUAAGCACAUGGAUGUUGAGUUUGCAAUACUCGCUAAGAGUUUGGCCGAAAAAUGGAUAGUGGAACCUAAAGAGCAAGUUACCAAUACUGAGAAUAAAGAGACAGAUGAGUCACCAACAGACUUUGGAGGAACGCUUUGUUGAAGCAGAAAUUACAUUUUUAUAUUCUACCCUAUUUAUUCAAAUUAUACUUGUUUCUUAGGUUGAAACAAUUAAGGCUUAUAAAAAAAUUAUUAGUCCUAUAAAUCUCAGGUAUAUGCUUUUGAGGUUGAAUUGUUAGUUGUUAUAUAAUAAUUGUUAUUUUUUAUUGUGCAUUUUUGUAAUGUAGUUAAUUACUAGAAUUUAAAAUUUAUUUACUAUAAUCUAUGAAACCAUUUAAAUUAAUGUUUAUAACACAUAGUAUAUCACUAUUAUAUUUAUAUAGUAUUUAUCACAGUUUUGUAACAUUCCAAAUUAAUUACAUAGUAUAAUGUAUAUUUAAAUUUCUUUUUACAUACCUAACUUUGUUCAGUAUAAAUCCAAUAAUGUUAUUUUAGUUUGUUUUUUA